rnacentral:lncRNA from 1 species
UGGCAAGUUGCGACAACGGACACCACUCCACUCUCCGUAACAAACUCCACAUGGCCCUGAACGGCCCCUGACACCACUACUCUCCGUAACAAACUCUGCAUGGCUCUGAAUGGCCCACUACCAGACGGUUAUAGAUGUUACUGUCAAUCAGUUACACUCUCUGUCUAUAAAAGGGGACCCCCAGAUACGUUCUUCUCUAAGCUGUAAACUCUAUCUUGAAACUCUGCUAAAAUUCUCACUCGAGCACUCCAUUUCUGUUG